ACAUACGACCAUACCUGCCAGAAAACACGGGAUCCCGUCCGCUCUCCCCUAGUUAAACUCGCAAGGGCCGGAUCAGUAGUUGGGUCGGUGACGACCAGCGAAUCCCCGGUGUUGUAUGUU
rfam:Chaetomium globosum CBS 148.51 scaffold_1 genomic scaffold, whole genome shotgun sequence.